AUUUCCUUCAGGAGGGUCUCCUUUUUCUGUCAUAAAAAUUCCAAAAAAAAAACCGCUCUCUUCCUUUUCAGAUUAGAAUUUUAUUUCAAAUAUACAAAACUACAGAAAACAUCAAAAAUAGAAAACCCAAAAAAUUUUCACUAUUUUAUUACCUAUUUCAGUCAAUUUUUAGAUUCCGCUUUUGUGUUCUGCGUUUCUGUUCUGUACCUGAGUGUUUGUAGCAUCAAAGGUGGUUGAGGUUAUUACGGAUGAUUGUUGGUCAUUUAUUUUUGAUUGUUGAAAGGUUUAGUAGUUUUUGAUAUAGUUGCAGCUACAUUCGAGUGUGUUCAAGUAACUUGUGGUGGUUUGCUUGGGUGUGGUUUGAUUUCAAAAUUUUUCGUGGUUAUUGAGCUAAGUUCUGGGUGAUUGAUUUUUGCUUGUGGUCUUUGCUGCUAACUGAUUCAGCUUCUUCUUAUUUCCAAAAUCAAGGGUACGCAGUUGUAAUCCCGCCAAUUUUUAAGAACAAACUUUGAGCAUGAUAUAUACGUGAAUAUUUGAAGCUUAAAUUUGAUUUAAAUGUUAUAUUGAUUCGUAUUUCAGAUAGUUCAAUCGUUUAUGUCAUGAAUUGCUGCUGAAUGUGUAAUUAGAUUGAGACAGACUAUGGACUAUAAUUAAGACCGUUUAGAAGUAGACUUGGACUAUUUGUGGUAAUCAGCUCGUGUAUUUACUGUCACAUGGCUUAGGGGUAUUGUAUUUUGAUAUUUGUUUGGACUACUAGAUCUGGGAUAGUAUUAGUUAUCGUAUCUUAAUUCAUGUGUUUAAUAUAGAUUUUUGAACCAGGUAAUAACUUGAACCGGAAAUUAUUCAUUAGCUUAAGUCAAUUUCGAACUCUGGAAUAUUCAUUUGCGUUGGCAACAGGACAAUCCAUAAGCCAUGAGUCACCUAAGCAUCGAUUUAAUAACUAGAGUUUUGAAAUAUAAACUCAAAUUAUCCAUGUCUUUUAAUUUGCUAAGUUGCACUCGUUUUUGGUUACAAUUGUGGAAGAAUGGAAAAGCCCAUUGAAAAAAUCCUAGUGGUCAUUUGGUCUAUGUCAUCUAAUCCUUGAUCAGACUUCUCAAGUGGCUUUGGGCCUCGAUACUGAAAUUAACGGCCCAAGCCUGAUCGAUACAACUGUUUCAUUCGGACCUAGGCCAAUGCCUGGCUUACCUUAGUCCCAUAGAAAAUUAUUUAGGAUAUUUUUCCUUGUGUUCCUAGAGAGAAAAACAAAAAUAAAAAAUCAUAGUCGCUUUUAGGUUUGUCUUUAAAUAAAAUAAUGAGACGAGCCUCACCGAACAAAACAAAUAAAUUGCGGGGCCUUCACUAAUUGGUUAUUCAAAAUACAUAAAAUUCGGGAGGACCCUUUAGCGAAUUUAACGAUCUUCCCCAACAUAAUAAUGUUUUAGACUCUUUAGGCGCGACUUAAUUAAAUAAUUUUUGUAUACUCGGGUGCGCGUUGAUGUGACGCAAAUCCAAUUCUCAAUGGAGUCAAAUGUGUUAACAACCACGGGUGCAUUGAUUGCAACGUGGUUUGACAUACAUUUUUGCGCCGUUGCAAUUCUUUUCAAAUAAUAAUAAAAGCGGUUUACGAAUAAAAGGCACAUAGGCUAGCAUGUACUAAAAUAAAAUAAAAUCAAAUACAAAAAUUGAGCGACCGUGCUAGAACCACGAAACCCGGGAACACCUAACACCUUCUCCCGGAUUAACCGAAUUCCUUAUUCACAUUUCGGAUUCAUGGACAUUAAUGCAGAGUUAUAUUUUUCCUCGGUUCAGGAUUCAAUAAGUGACUAGGAACACCAUUAAUCUCCCAAGUGGCGACUCUGAAUAAUAAUUAAUUAAAUCCUAUUCCGACUGUCCUUUAAUUGGAAAAACUCCUUUAUGCCCUUGCGGGUGUAGUGAAAAAGAAGGUGUGCCAACGUUUUAUUUAAAGUCACAAUUGUAACAUGGCCGGGACCACACUAGUGGAUCUUGAGGGAUAUCUAACACCUUCCCCUCGAGAUAAUUUCUGGCCCUGACCCUAAUCUUUGGUUUCUUUAUCUCAAACCCUUCUUAAAAUUGUCCUAAUGCACUAUUAUCAUUAGCUGGAGACUCUUCAACUCCAAAAUCCAAUUCUCGAAAGGGAAUAGAGUUGUCCUCCCAAUUGUUGUAUACCCGAUUUUAAAUCUUAGAAAAAGGGGGCGUCGAUAGCAUGGCGACUUAGCUGGGGACGUUUUUAGGCUUUGACCAUUGCAUGCUACUUGUGACUUUGUUUUCUCUUUAAUUGCCUUUACUUACUGUCUUUAUUUCCUCUAUUACGAAACUAACAUGGCUGUUCAUGUCUUUUCUCUCUUUAAUGCUUUAUUUACUGCUUUCCUUUACCACUGUUGUAAUUACGAGCAAUUUUUGUAAUCAUUAUCUUAUGAACGUUGAAAUAUGUGACAAUCCUUUUCAUUCUUGUAAUCACAUCUUCAGCAUCAUAUUCCACUCGUACCUAACAAAUACCGUAGCAACCUUAUAAUGAGUGGUUGCACUCCUUCAAUAUUAUUACCCCCUAAAUUUGUCAAAUGCAUAUUUGUGGAAAAACAAAUCAAUCUGCGGUGUGGUGGACGGUUCCGUGCCUUUCCCUCUUGAGUCGUCCGCUCAAGGGUACCGGUCUAAUACCCUGUAUAAACCUUACUCUAUUUAACUGUGGAUAUAUCAUGGUCAAACCUAGUCAAGUCAGUUAUGUUGUCCACAUAAUAACUCAUUAAGAUAGCCUUGUCCUAAGUCCACCAGUUUCCUUGAAACCCAAACGGACACCACCAUAUUAUGCGCAUUUAUUUGGAGGACUAAAUGCUUUUUAUGCUAAUUAUUGGUAUUAAAUAGUCAAUUUUGGUGGGGUGAGGCCUUAACCCUUUUGCUUUGCAGAAAUGAAUGACAAAGUUCCCGACUUAGGUAUGGUCAACAUACCCUCACUCUUGCUGACCUGGUGGAUGGAACUCCCAUCUAUUAACCAAAUCAACGAAUGGAAAGAUAGAGUCACCAAGGCCAGUGUCAAGCUUGAAUACCUGGAGUACAACUUGCUGGAAUCGAAAGGGAAAGUUAGGAAAAGGGUCAUCGACUGUCAAAACGCUUAGGAAAGCGAAGGAGAAUGCUUGACAAAGGAAUUUCUACUGGAAAAUCUGCGCGAGCUGGAGGAUCUGAUCAGCGAGAACAUUCAAGCAUAAGAAGUUCAUUCUGGGACCAAGUAGUUAGGAGUCUUUUGCUUUUAAAAUGUAAUAAGGCCAAUGGCCAUUAGUGACAUUUUUACAUUCCGUUAUUUUAGUAUCAUUUUGG
rnacentral:lncRNA from 1 species